rnacentral:rRNA from 1 species
UGAGGAAUAUUGGUCAAUGGACGGAAGUCUGAACCAGCCAUGCCGCGUGAAGGAUGAAGGCGUUCUGCGUUGUAAACUUCUUUUAUCUGGGAAGAAACCACAGAUUUCUAUUUGUGUUGACGAUACCAGAGGAAUAAGCACCGGCUAACUCCGUGCCAGCAGCCGCGGUAAUACGGAGGGUGCGAGCGUUAUCCGGAUUUACUGGGUUUAAAGGGUGCGUAGGUGGGCUUAUAAGUCAGUGGUGAAAUCUCCGAGCUUAACUUGGAAACUGCCGUUGAUACUAUAGGUCUUGAAUUAUCUGGAGGUAAGCGGAAUAUGUCAUGUAGCGGUGAAAUGCUUAGAUAUGACAUAGAACACCAAUUGCGAAGGCAGCUUACUACAUAUAAAUUGACGCUGAGGCACGAAAGCGUGGGGAUCAAAC